GCCCGGUUAGCUCAAUCGGUAGAGCGUCAGACUCUUAACAACGGGAUUUCAUCACAGUUGCGAUGGUAAUCUGAAGGCUGCGGGUUCGACCCCCGCAUCGGGCU
rnacentral:tRNA from 1 species